AAGGGCGUGCUAAUCUGCGAUAAGCGCCGGUAAGGUGAUAUGAACCGUUAUAACCGGCGAUACCCGAAUGGGGAAACCCAGUGUGACUCGUCACACUAUCAUUAACUGAAUCCAUAGGUUAAUGAGGCGAACCGGGGGAACUGAAACAUCUAAGUACCCCGAGGAAAAGAAAUCAACCGAGAUUCCCCCAGUAGCGGCGAGCGAACGGGGAGGAGCCCAGAGCCUGAAUCAGCAUGUGUGUUAGUGGAAGCGUCUGGAAAGGCGCGCGAUACAGGGUGACAGCCCCGUACACAAAAGCGCAUGUGCUGUGAGCUCGAUGAGUAGGGCGGGACACGUGGUAUCCUGUCUGAAUAUGGGGGGACCAUCCUCCAAGGCUAAAUACUCCUGACUGACCGAUAGUGAACCAGUACCGUGAGGGAAAGGCGAAAAGAACCCCGGCGAGGGGAGUGAAAAAGAACCUGAAACCGUGUACGUACAAGCAGUGGGAGCACCCUUUGGGUGUGACUGCGUACCUUUUGUAUAAUGGGUCAGCGACUUAUAUUCUGUAGCAAGGUUAACCGAAUAGGGGAGCCGGAGGGAAACCGAGUCUUAACCGGGCGUUAAGUUGCAGGGUAUAGACCCGAAACCCGGUGAUCUAGCCAUGGGCAGGUUGAAGGUUGGGUAACACUAACUGGAGGACCGAACCGACUAAUGUUGAAAAAUUAGCGGAUGACCUGUGGCUGGGGGUGAAAGGCCAAUCAAACCGGGAGAUAGCUGGUUCUCCCCGAAAGCUAUUUAGGUAGCGCCUCGUGAAUUCAUCUCCGGGGGUAGAGCACUGUUUCGGCUAGGGGGCCAUCCCGGCUUACCAACCCGAUGCAAACUGCGAAUACCGGAGAAUGUUAUCACGGGAGACACACGGCGGGUGCUAACGUCCGUCGUGAAGAGGGAAACAACCCAGACCGCCAGCUAAGGUCCCAAAGUCAUGGUUAAGUGGGAAACGAUGUGGGAAGGCCCAGACAGCCAGGAUGUUGGCUUAGAAGCAGCCAUCAUUUAAAGAAAGCGUAAUAGCUCACUGGUCGAGUCGGCCUGCGCGGAAGAUGUAACGGGGCUAAACCAUGCACCGAAGCUGCGGCAGCGACACUGUGUGUUGUUGGGUA
rnacentral:rRNA from 1 species